rnacentral:sRNA from 1 species
AAACUUACCUGACGCGAGAGGCACCUUGAUCAACUAGGAGGUCCUCUCAGGAUGAGGCC